GCCAUGAUGCACAAUUAGCUAACGCGCUGCUUGAGCGAUUGUUCAAAAUUCUGCACUUUAUUUAUGGCCCAAUAACUGGACUGUUCUUACCAAAGAUUAAACUUCUUAACUUAGUGAGUUGAGGUCCACCCAUACACAACACAACAUGGCUGUAAAGAUAUUUAUAACUUAUUGUGGAGCUUGAGGCUACAAGAGUAGGUACGAACGACUCAAGAAUGAACUGUUGGAAAGUUUUCCAAGUGGUUCUCUAGAGUUCGAUUUUUACUCUACUCCUAACGUCACAGGCUACUUUGAGGUUGAAGUAAAUGGAAAACUCGUACACUCCAAAAAGAAUGGCGAUGGUUAUGUAAACUCAGAAGCAAAGGUUGAAAAGAUUGUCGCUGCCAUAAAGGCGACCAUGUAAAUGGCAGGAAUUUUAAACGAAAAUUUCACAAUCCAUUUUCUGGUAAACGAUUGGAUGACGAAUGUUACGAAAAAGUUGCACAUUUAACUACGUAACCUUCUGAUGUUAUAUAAAUCGUUUUACGAAAGAUGGUAUUGUAAAAAAUUUCGUUUGACAUUUUAUUGUGUUAUUUAUUUAUUUAUUUUUAAACCCCUUAUAAACACGAAGAGUGAGAAGGUGCAACAAUACUAAUAAUCAUAUUAUCUUUGUCUCGUGAAUUUAGGGCUUAAAUUGCUCUUUGUAUUGCGCAUUUUUCUGAGUACGCAUUUAUGAUAAUUUAAUUGUCAACAUGCCUUUCAUUUCCUUUCUUGCAACAGUUUUUUUUCAACAGUUUUAAUUCUUUUGCUAUCAUUUGCACGUUCAGUUUUUGUAAUUUUUUUUUUAUAUAUUUCAUCAUUAAAGAUA